rnacentral:rRNA from 1 species
AUACGUAGGGUGCAAGCGUUAAUCGGAAUUACUGGGCGUAAAGCGUGCGCAGGCGGUUUUGUAAGACAGUGGUGAAAUCCCCGGGCUCAACCUGGGAACUGCCAUUGUGACUGCAAGGCUGGAGUGCGGCAGAGGGGGAUGGAAUUCCGCGUGUAGCAGUGAAAUGCGUAGAUAUGCGGAGGAACACCGAUGGCGAAGGCAAUCCCCUGGGCCUGCACUGACGCUCAUGCACGAAAGCGUGGGGAGCAAACAGGAUUAGAUACCCUGGUAGUCCACGCCCUAAACGAUGUCAACUGGUUGUUGGGGAUUUAUUUUCUCAGUAACGAAGCUAACGCGUGAAGUUGACCGCCUGGGGAGUACGGCCGCAAGGUUAAAACUUAAAGGAAUUGGCGGGG